rnacentral:rRNA from 1 species
GUAGGGUCCAAGCGUUAUCCGGAUUUACUGGGUGUAAAGGGCGAGUAGACGGCGCUGUAAGUCAGCUGUGAAAACUUAGGGCUCAACCUUAAGCCUGCAGCUGAAACUGUAGUGCUAGAGUGCAGGAGAGGUAAGCGGAAUUCCUAGUGUAGCGGUGAAAUGCGUAGAUAUUAGGAGGAACACCAGUGGCGAAGGCGGCUUACUGGACUGUAACUGACGUUGAGGCGCGAAAGUGUGGGGAGCAAACAGGAUUAGAUACCCUGGUAGUCCACACCGUAAACGAUGGAUACUAGGUGUAGGCGAGAUAUCGUCUGUGCCGGCGCAAACGCAAUAAGUAUCCCACCUGGGGAGU